AAGAGUUGAUCAUGGCUCAGAUUGAACAUUGGCGGCAGGCUUAACACGGCAAGUCGAGCGGAUGAAGGGAGCUUGCUCCUGGAUUCAGCGGCGGACGGGUGAGUAAUGCCUAGGAAUCUGCCUGGUAGUGGGGGAUAACGUCCGGAAACGGGCGCUAAUACCGCAUACGUCCUGAGGGAGAAAGUGGGGGAUCUUCGGACCUCACGCUAUCAGAUGAGCCUAGGUCGGAUUAGCUAGUUGGUGGGGUAAAGGCCUACCAAGGCGACGAUCCGUAACUGGUCUGAGAGGAUGAUCAGUCACACUGGAACUGAGACACGGUCCAGACUCCUACGGGAGGCAGCAGUGGGGAAUAUUGGACAAUGGGCGAAAGCCUGAUCCAGCCAUGCCGCGUGUGUGAAGAAGGUCUUCGGAUUGUAAAGCACUUUAAGUUGGGAGGAAGGGCAGUAAGUUAAUACCUUGCUGUUUUGACGUUACCAACAGAAUAAGCACCGGCUAACUUCGUGCCAGCAGCCGCGGUAAUACGAAGGGUGCAAGCGUUAAUCGGAAUUACUGGGCGUAAAGCGCGCGUAGGUGGUUCAGCAAGUUGGAUGUGAAAUCCCCGGGCUCAACCUGGGAACUGCAUCCAAAACUACUGAGCUAGAGUACGGUAGAGGGUGGUGGAAUUUCCUGUGUAGCGGUGAAAUGCGUAGAUAUAGGAAGGAACACCAGUGGCGAAGGCGACCACCUGGACUGAUACUGACACUGAGGGCGAAAAAUG
rnacentral:rRNA from 1 species